rnacentral:lncRNA from 1 species
AGAACACUGCCUGACACAGAGUAAAUACUCCAUACAUGGUGUAAAUGCUCUUAGCAUUUCUCUCCAGCAGUCAAAGCAUAAUAAUCAUAAUCAUAAUCAUAAUAAUGAUAAUAUAAAAAGCCUCAAAAACAGCUUACUGGGGAUGUUGAAGAUGAUGGCAAAUCAACUUGGACUAGAAUUUCUCAUUUGUGCUGUUGUUAUUCUUCCUUCAAGAGUCGAGGUUGUUUCAAGAGUUGACACAGGCUCCAUGGAUCUCAGGCUCACUGAAUCUGUCCCGAUUCAGCACUGCUGCAGCAAGUCCCAGCUUAGCACCUCAUCUUAUUGGCUUCUGGAAUUUUGGCCGAGGGGAAAUCACAACCUAUUUGGCACCCAGGACUGCACGAAGACUGCAUGAGUCUGGCCACAGUUGGACAUAAGUUACACCAACUCUCUCAUCACCUUUUGUCUCCAAAAUCAUACUAUCGGCACUGGUAUGUUUAUGAGUGUGUGUGUGUUUGUGUGCAUGAAUACAUGUGUGUGGCAGACCCUCAUUUGUUACCCAGAACAACCCCACCUCUUUGGGCGCAGUACUGAGAAAAUCCGAAAAUCCGAACACCUUUCCUGAAUCCAAAAGCAUCGUUUCUCUCAUCCUAGUUCCUGCGUGUCAAAGGAACUUUCUCCCUGGCCCUAGUCACUCACUGGCUCCUGGGGGUGGCAUGCCUCAUUUCUGUGGAGGGAAGGAGUUUAAGCUACUUUCGCUAUGUAUGCCCUCCCUACCAAAAGAAAAAAAAAAUCUCUGGGAUACCCUCUUUCACCUCCUCACUAUUUUCCCUUUACAGUUUCCACUCUCACUCUUCUCUAUCCAUAUUUUCCUCAAACUUGCCCUCAGAUUUGAUACUUUCCCUUUUGAUAUUGGUCUUUCUACUUCAAUGAAUUUUUUUUUUUUUUAACACAUACUUCAUUCCUCUUCUGCUAUGAACUAUUACUGAACAAGUCAUGGCCCAUUCUCUGUGGAAGCUCCCGAAGCAAUUGGUUUUUAAAUCUACUAGAGCAGAGACCACCAGACGAAAGUCUUCUCAAUAUUAGGUAACAUGCCACCCUAACAUCCCCAAUGUUGGACACCGUGCUUGCCCCCUAGUAGAUGCUCCAAAUAUUCAUUCAUUAACCAAUUCUUAAAUUCUAUGUCCCUCAGUUUUCUCAUCUGUAAAAUGGUAUUAAUAACAGUAUCUACCUCAUGGUGUGGUUGGUGGGAAUCGAGUUAAUACAUAUAAGGUGCUUAGCAAAGUGCCCAGAAUACAGUAAGUGCUACACAGGAGUAAGAUAUAGUAAUUGCUAUUCCAUACACUAUACUGUUCCUGGAUGUGUAGCCUGAAUAAGCCAGAAAUAGAGUCUAAUCCCCAAAGAAGCUACAUUUUAGGGGAAGAUAGCUAUUUAACAAGAAAUUAUAGUAAAGGGCAAUAAACGAACUAACGGUCUUUCUAGCUGUCUUAAA